rnacentral:rRNA from 1 species
UGUAGAAAAAAAAAAAAAAGAACAAGGUUUCCGUAGGUUAAGUUCAGCCUACCAGAGCGGUGCUACCACCGCUAGUUGGCCCUGCCAGCGACACGCUCAAUUUGCGGAAACGCCCUGUACAGGGAGACCCGCAGCCCACCCCCCUUACCCGGGGGUCGGUUCAGAGACUCAAUAAGCGUGGGUUUGGCGCAGCAGCCAAGCUUGAGAUAGAGCCCGUCCCCGCUGCCAACAGCGAGGAGUCAACGGAACCUGCGGAAGGAUCAUUAAAGAAUACAGGCUUCACAGCCGCUAUUCUCCUUCUUUGUAUACCAAACUUUGUUGCUUUGGCAGGCCCCUGGCUUCGGCUGGAUCGUGCCUGCCAGAGGACCAAAACUCUUGAAUCUUUGCCGUCUGAGUACUAUAUAAUAGUUAAAACUUUCAACAACGGAUCUCUUGGUUCUGGCAUCGAUGAAGAACGCAGCGAAAUGCGAUAAGUAAUGUGAAUUGCAGAAUUCAGUGAAUCAUCGAAUCUUUGAACGCACAUUGCGCUCCCUGGUAUUCCGGGGAGCAUGCCUGUUCGAGCGUCAUUACAACCCUCACGCCUAGCGUGGUAUUGGGCUCGCCCUGUAGGGCUUGCCUCAAAAUCAGUGGCGGCACUGUCUGACCCUAAGCGUAGUAAUACUCGUCGCUUUUGGGCUUGGGCGGGCGCUCGCUAGUAACCCCCACUAUCAAAGGUGACCUCGGAUCAGGUAGAGCACGUGAGCCGC